rnacentral:sRNA from 1 species
GUGAGACUGUGGCCCAUCGGCCGAGUGCGACCGAUAAACUGUUCCAGGUCGGCAUCAGGCGCAGCCCUCGUGCCGACAGUAAAUGAUCAGCCAGCAGCCGCUGCAACCACAGGGAG